ensembl:lncRNA
UGUACUCUCAAUCUGAGGUGGAAUGGGUCUGUGCAAUCUAUAACUUUUAUUUUUAUAUAUUUUUUUUUUAAAUAGAGAUGCAGCAUCUUAUUUAUGAGAUUUUGGAGGCUCUUAUUUUGUAAUUCCACAUCAGACAAUCCUGAAACGAUGCAGCUGACACUGUGGCAAGGUGUACUCUCAAUCUGAGGUGGAACUGGUUUGUGCAAUCCAUAACUUUCAUUUUUAUAUAUUUUUUUUAAAAUAGAUGCAGCAGUUUAUUUAUGAGAUUUGGGAGGCUCUUAUUUUGUAAUUCCACAUCAGACAGUCCUGAAACGAUGCAGCUGACACUGUGGCAAGGUGUACUCUCAAUCUGAGGUGAAAGUGGUCUGUGCAAUCAGUAACUUUUAUUUUGAUAGAUUUUUGAAAGUAGAGAUGCAGCAGAUUAUUUAUGAGAUUUGGGAGGCUAUUAUUUUGUAAUUCCACAUCAGACAGUCCUGAAACGACGCAGUUGACACUGUGGAAAGGUGUACUCUCAAUCUGAGGUGAAAGUGGUCUGUGCAAUCUAGAACUUUUAUUUUUAUUUGUUUUUAAAUAUA